rnacentral:rRNA from 1 species
AAGGGCACUCUAAUGAGACUGCCGGUGACAAACCGGAGGAAGGUGGGGAUGACGUCAAGUCCUCAUGGCCCUUAUGGGUAGGGCUUCACACGUCAUACAAUGGUCGGUACAGAGGGUUGCCAAGCCGCGAGGCGGAGCCAAUCCCACAAAGCCGAUCGUAGUCCGGAUUGUUCUCUGCAACUCGAGAGCAUGAAGUCGGAAUCGCUAGUAAUCGCAGGUCAGCAUACUGCGGUGAAUACGUUCCCGGGUCUU